rnacentral:rRNA from 1 species
UACGAAGGGGGCUAGCGUUGCUCGGAAUCACUGGGCGUAAAGGGUGCGUAGGCGGGUCUUUAAGUCAGGGGUGAAAUCCUGGAGCUCAACUCCAGAACUGCCUUUGAUACUGAGGAUCUUGAGUAUGGGAGAGGUGAGUGGAACUGCGAGUGUAGAGGUGAAAUUCGUAGAUAUUCGCAAGAACACCCGUGGCGAAGGCGGCCCACUGGGCCGGUACUGACGCUGAGGCGCGAAGGCGUGGGGAGCGAACGGG